rnacentral:rRNA from 1 species
UACAGAGGUCUCAAGCGUUGUUCGGAAUCACUGGGCGUAAAGGGUGCGUAGGCCGCACGGUAAGUCAGAGGUGAAAUCCCGGAGCUCAACUCCGGAAUGGCCUCCGAUACUGCCGUGCUCGAGGACUGGAGAGGAGUCUGGAAUUCACAGUGGAGCAGUGAAAUGCGUGGAUAUUGUGAGGAACACUAGUGGCGAAGGCGAGGCUCUGGACAGUUCCUGACGCUGAGGCACGAAGGCCAGGGGAGCAAACGGG